rnacentral:rRNA from 1 species
GUGCCAGCAGCCGCGGUAAUACGGAGGGUGCAAGCGUUAUCCGGAUUCACUGGGUUUAAAGGGAGCGCAGGCGGAUUGGUAAGUCAGUGGUGAAAGGCUUGAGCUUAACUCGGGAACUGCCAUUGAUACUAUCAGUCUUGAAUAUUGUUGAGGUUUGCGGAAUGGGUCAUGUAGCGGUGAAAUGCAUAGAUAUGACCCGGAACACCUAUUGCGAAGGCAGCAGGCUAAACAAAGAUUGACGCUGAGGCUCGAAAGCGUGGGGAUCAAACAGGAUUAGAAACCCUCGUAGUCC